rnacentral:rRNA from 1 species
AACGGCCGCGGUAUCCUAACCGUGCGAAGGUAGCGUAAUCACUUGUUCUUUAAAUGAGGACUAGUAUGAAUGGCACCACGAGGGUUAAACUGUCUCCUUUUUUUAAUCAGUGAAACUAAUCUCCCCGUGAAGAAGCGGGGAUUCUUUUAUAAGACGAGAAGACCCUAUGGAGCUUUAAACAAGUUAACACCUGCUACUAAUCNNUUCACUUUACUGAACCACCACAUUAAGUAUAGCACCUCUGAUUAACAGUUUUCGAUUGGGGUGAUCAUGGAGCAAAAAUCAACCUCCACGACGAAAAGGAACACCUCCUUGAGCCAAAAGCUACAACUUUAAGCACUAAAAAACUAACGCACUUUGACCCAAUUCUUUGAGCAACGAACCAAGUUACCCUAGGGAUAACAGCGCAAUCCACUUUAAGAGCUCCUAUCGACAAGUGGGUUUACGACCUCGAUGUUGGAUCAGGGUAUCCCAGUGGUGCAGCCGCUACUAAAGGUUCGUUUGUUCAACGAUUAAAACCCUACGUGAUCUGAGUUCAGACCGGAGUAAUCCAGGUCAGUUUCUAUCUAUAAAGGGCUUUUUCUAGUACGAAAGGACCGAAAAAGCAUGGCCUAUAACCCAUCAAGCCAUAUAAAUUACUAUUGUUCCCAACUUAAAUAGAAGUAAACCUACCACUUAUCUCGAUAAAAGAGAAGUUAACGUAGCAUAACCUGGCCUUGCAG